rnacentral:rRNA from 1 species
UCGAGACCGAAAUAUGCACCGAGUGACUCGGAGAACCCGUGGAACGACGUGCGGCGUCGGCCGCCGCGGAACGGCCGUCCAGGCCGCGCCCAAUCUCCUCUCCCGGGGAUAGGCGGCGCGGCGGAGGGCGGAUGAAAACACAAACCGGCGCAGCAUCGCGCCAAGGGAAAGCUGAAAGGCACGAGCCCCUCGUCGGGCUCGGCGGCGUGGAGUGCUAUUGCACGCCAUGCGGAUGGACACGACUCUCGGCAAUGGAUAUCUCGGCUCUCGCAUCGAUGAAGAGCGCAGCGAAAUGCGAUACGUGGUGCGAAUUGCAGAAUCCCGCGAACCAUCGAGUCUUUGAACGCAAGUUGCGCCUGAGGCCAGCCGGCGGAGGGCACGUCCGCCUGGGCGUCAAGCUUCGCGUCGCUCCGUGCCAGCUCCGCUCCGCCAGAUGGGCGUGUGAUGGGCGUGGCUCGGACGUGCAGAGUGGCCCGUCGCGCCGCUCGGUGCGGCGGGCUGAAGAGCGGGCUACGUCUCGCCGGCCGCGAACAACAAGGGGUGGGUGAAGGGCUGUGAACGCAGCCUGUUUGUCUCGUGGUGGCCAGAGGGAUGGAUUCUGCCCUCAAGGUGAUCCCGACCCAUGCGCC